UUUUGAUUUAGUUUUCAAAGUUUCAAGUUUCAUGGUGUUGGCUCAUGCGGAAGGGGAAAGAUCCAUGGCCGAUGCAAUUUCUGAUGAUGCUUAUGCAUCAGUGUUUGUUAUUACUUUGUAUGAUUUGUUAAAUUCUGUUUGGAUAAGCCGUGACCUAAUUUUGCUGUGGGUUUACGCAGGUUCGAUGAUGAAGCACGAGUUUGCUUGGCCAUAAAAAAGAAAGGAUGGCAAUGAGAGAGAUUUAUCGGCUCUUUGUAGUAUUUUGAUUUUGUUUAUGCUUUGAAUUUCAGGUGACGGUUCGUUUCGAUUUGGGUUUCUCCGAUUACGCUAACGGUUCAUAGGCGCACCUAUUUAAAAUUCGCUUCUAUGUUGUAUAAAUCUUAGACUCCAACUAUAUAGAUUGUUGUGCUGCAAAAGGAGAUAAUGAAGUGUCGGAAGAUGCUGGAGUGUCUCAGGAAGCAGAAUUGUUGUUCUUACGAACAAAAGAGCUAGCAAUAACAAAGAGGGAGUUGUGGGAGCUCAAGAAGGAGAAUCAUCAAAAAAGUUGUGAAUGUCAACAACCUUUGAACUCCUUAAAGGAGGUUCAGAACGAGCUAAUGCGCAAGUCGAUACACGUCGGAUCUUUAGAUUCUGUAUUAAAUGGGAAGUGAAGCUUUUAGAUAUUAAGGGCGGGAAUGCAUGAAUGUAACUUCGAAUCUGCUCAUGUUGUACAUGCUGAGGUUGAUUCCAUGGGAGGUGUUGUGGAUGGCGGAGUUGGUAUAGAUUUGAAAACCUCUCUGCGCUGAGCAACAAUUGAGAAGGCUCAACCA